rnacentral:rRNA from 1 species
UACAGAGGUCUCAAGCGUUGUUCGGAUUCAUUGGGCGUAAAGAGCGCGUAGGCGGUCCGGUAAGUCGGUUGUGAAAGUCGGGGGCUCAACCCUCGGAUGCCGAUCGAUACUGUCGGGCUAGAGUCCGGAAGAGGCGAGUGGAAUUCCUGGUGUAGCGGUGAAAUGCGCAGAUAUCAGGAGGAACACCAAUGGCGAAGGCAGCUCGCUGGGACGGUACUGACGCUGGGGCGCGAAAGCGUGGGGAGCAAACAGG